rnacentral:rRNA from 1 species
CGCGCAGGCGGCUCGUCAAGCCUGACGUGAAAGCCCCCGGCUCAACCGGGGAGGGUCGUCGGGGACUGGCGAGCUUGAGGUCGGCAGGGGUUGGUGGAAUUCCCGGUGUAGUGGUGAAAUGCGUAGAGAUCGGGAGGAACACCCGUGGCGAAGGCGGCCAACUGGGCCGGACCUGACGCUGAGGCGCGAAGGCGUGGGGAGCGAACG